ACAACCGAUGUUCUACUAUAUGUAUUAUGAACAUCACCUGUAACUCGAAGCAAAGUUUCAUUUUGUUCUUUUUCUCGUAACGAAGCUUAUCCAGUCGACGUCGCCUCAGAUUGUUAUCCUCAUAGACAGUUAAGCAGGUGUGCUGUAAAUCGAAUCAGCUAUACAUUUAGUCUUUAAAGUUUGAAUCGUGAAACAAACCUCUACUUCAUGACCAAGGCAUUUUAACUGCAAAUCUUUGUGACCAUGGAGCUCUUUAUAUGCUUGAUUUUUGGUAUCACUGACGAGCUCUUGAUAUUUUUUUACGUCCUCUCGAAAGGUAUUCAAUUGCCAUGAUAUUCUUUUCUUCAACUUUGCAGCAUCCUGCAGACGCAACCUUUUUUCGCGGCCUUUACGGUAGAGAUAAAUAAAAAUUGACUAUAAAAAUCAUCACUAUUAAGGUUUUAUAUUGUAGUUACUAACCGUAUAACUUCAAAAUCCCACGAUAUUGUUCAAGUUUAUCCUUUGUGGACCAUCUACUGUCCUUGUAGAUUUCGACGCGUCUGGCGAACAUUUUCUUGCACUACAAUUUAAAACGAUUUACAACAGCGCCUGGAAAUGGUACAACAAAAACAUUUUUGUUAAUCUAUUUAAAAACUUAUAAUCUUAGAGAAUAACUCAACUUUAUUUUACAUACAAAGAUUUAUAUAUCAUGUAUAAGGAGAAAGUUGCGAAAACCUACGUGCUUCUAAAGGUUAGAAACAGUCAUCAAAUAACCUAUGCGUAUCGCAUUCAUUUAUUGCAUUUAUACGGAGGUGUAAGCGCACCUCUGGCUCUCUCGCGCUCUCUUUCUUCCUUUUUCUUCCUCUCUUUCUCUUUGUUUGUCACAUACACACGCACACAUGCACCGCUAUUUACCCGCCUUUUGUUCUUUGUUUAUUAAGCUCAUUCUUCGACUAUUUUCAUACGAAACAAUUGUAUUAGUUUCGUUCUUUACGCAUAUGGUGAUACACGAGACGACGCGUGCAGCGGCGACAAAACCAAUUCGUUUUCCUAUCGUCUACAUGUUACUAAAAACAAAAAUGAAGCAAAAAGAAAUGGCAGUUCUAAACGAGACUGUUUUGUCGCCAAUUGUCACCAGUGUACACACGAUCUAACGACGACAUUUCGCUAAGAAAAUAUCGUAUCAGGUGUUUAGAUUUGCAAAGCAAAUGUCGUGCACCAAUUUUGUCCGACGUCUUUUCCGCCGAUGAAAUUUCGAUACCAAACGGGAAGAUGAUAAAAAGAAAAACGCGCCGAACGAUGUUACGAAAGUUAGAGACCAUAUGGUUGAUAUGUAUUAUAUCUCGCGGAUUCGGCACAGCAUACGUGUCUUAUCCGAAGGAUAACGAUUGACUCUACGAUUGACGAGGCUAGAUUGCGCGUAAACAGAUUGCGAUACUGCACGACAAAACGUGUAGCGCCAAUUUCGAGCAUGAGGCGGUGGUGCGCUCCAUAUGCCGUUGUCCCUACAAGUUGGUCUCCUAACGGGUUCUAGAGGUGUUACGUAUCCGGGCGAGCAAGUCACCUGGCAAAGAUAGUAAUUGAUUAAUUAAAUAUAUUACAAGACUAACAUUGACAUCUUAAUGAAUAACAUUACCUGUAUAUUAUCUCCAGGUUUGUACCAAAACUUGAGGGGAGCGAUUCGCCCGUGCGGUGGAUCACCUGGAUAAGGACAUCUCACUUUGCCUGGAAAUCGAUUCGAAACUGUGUCUAGUGUACAAGCAUCAACGCGCAAGAGGCACAUAAUAACAAAAGACGAAACUUACAAAUUGGUGACGUGUGGGACCACGUCCCAUUUUCAGUGCAUAUUAUGGAUGCCUCGCCGAUAAGUUGAUGGCCUGGUAAACAGGCAUAUCUGACGAGCGCACCGACUUUGUGUAUUCGACCACGGUGCUGUUUCCUACCAGAAUUAUGACGGUGACUUUGUUCGAUGAUACGACCGCUUUUCGGUAUCGAUGGUGCUGGGCAGAUGGGUACAUCUCCACUCCACGAGCCGUCCUCCUCGCAAUUUAUAGCAUCAGAUCCCACGAGCUUGUGGCCCCACAUGCAAGUGAACAAUGCCCUGCCGCCGAAACUAUUAUUGUACUCGAUAAGUUGCAACCGGGAGUCGUUGAGCGCGUCCAAAGGCGGACACUCGAUCAGCGUGCAUCGUGGCAUGUCAGCGGACCAUUUGCCUGACAACGUUAGCGAUAUCAUAGCAAGAAGCGUUAGAGAAUAUUAUUCAAUGUCUUACCAUUGUAUUGGCACGUUAUGCCUGGGGCACCUUCCAGUCUGUAUCCAACAGGACAUUCGAACACUGCUCCGUGUCCCAUCCGCGCGCCUUCGAUUUUCCCGAACAACGGUGGUUCCGGUAGGCUCAGGACCGGGCAUUGAACGUCUGCAAACCGGCGUGAGAAAUUAUAUCUUUCCGCUAACAAUCAAUUCCGCUAUCUGCCUUCCUUCGAAGAAAAAAGGAAACAGCUGUAAAACUCGAUCACUUACCAACAACGUGAACACGAAUGGAGUUGGACAGUCCGCGGGGCGUGGAACACGUGUACGUACCGGAAUCUUGAGCUUUCGCAUAAUAUAUCGAUAGUCGGUACUUCCAGUCCCUUUCGCGAGCUGCGAUCGCCCAUCCUGCAGCGAAUGGAAACCGCUACAACGCAACGUUCGUUGGUUUUCCCAUGCAAUUUCUACGUGAUCGACAUUGCGUUUUUCAAACGGUCUAUUAUCGAAAAAAAAACAAAAAAAACAAACGAAGCAUUCAACUAUGCGAAUUGGCAAUAGCUAUCGCGCUUUCAUAGGUUCAUAGAUUUUACUCUGGAUACGUUGCAAUUUCUCUGCAAAUCUCGCUCAUUAAAACAGAUAAAAAACUCAAGUGUACAAUUAAGUUUCCGGUUGCGUACCUCGAUCUCACAACAUCGAACGCCGUGAACUACUUACCAGUUAAGUACUGGCGAAACGUAGAGGUCCAGGUCCAUUCCGGGUUACCAAGUUUCCUAGCGAAAAGGCACUCCAAGUGAAGAAUGCUUCCUGGAAAGACCGCGAGGGUACCGGACGGUUCUACGGCUGCUGAACCAGCUGGGAGCCCGAACACGAUUGUAGGUGGUACGUCCUCUGUUUCUCCUCGAACAGUCAUCAGAGGAGAAUAACUAAACACAAGUAUCAGCCUUGUCUCCAUCAGGAGAACUUGAUACUUACAAGGGAACAUACCGAAGUGAUAUACGCUGAUUUUGGUGAAACUUUGGGAAAUUAUGGUUCUUAGAAAAGUAUUCGACGUAUUCUUUUUAUCGACCCUUGUUCGUAUUUAAGGAAUAAAAACAACCCCCGAAACUUGGUGGUCGAAAUCAUAUUCGGUCAAAUAUUUAGGAAACCAUUAAAGUUAAAAGCAUUAAAAUUGCACUGUUGCGUUUUUUAAAUAAAGAAUCCAGCCGCUGAACCCGAGUUUCAAUAUCUGCAUUUGUUUGAGAAGUAUAUCAAAAAAUUACACUGUUUAUGUUGAUUUUUCAUUUCAUUGUUAAUGCAUAAAACAGAAUUUUGCAUUGUAAAUAAUGUUAUUAUAAUUAAAAAUUUUUGGCAUCUUUUAUAAUACUAAGGCCUCAGAUGUGAAUAAACCAGUGGGCAGAGCCCAGUGUACCAUAUUCUAACAAAUAUGGUUUCGAUCCCCAAAUUUGGGAGCUGUUUUCAUCCCUUAAAUGCGAACGGGGGCCGAUAGAAAAGAAUCUGUGUCACAAAUAUUUUUCUAAAAACUACCUUUCGCCAAAGUUUCAUCAAAAUCGGCGAAUAUCACUUCGGUAUGUUCCCUUGUUAGUGAACCGGGCGAACGUCGAUCGUGUGAAUGAAAAGGAUCGAUCUUUCGAAAAGAAGACUGCCUCUCGAGUUACUCACCGGUAUAAUUCGCAAUCGCUGUCGUCGGAACGCAGGAAGGUACUGUUCCAUUCCAGCUAGCAUUGCGACAAUGUAGCAGAGAAUCGCCGAUCAGUUUGUAUUUACCAAGUUCCCUACACCGAACGGUCACUCGUUCCUCGUGCGGUACUGUAAUUCUAUCCACCUGAAGGCAGAUCGAUGUUUUUACAAGCAUGUAUUACCGACACUCUGCUCCUUUUCUUUUCAAAUUUCAAUACGUACCGAUAUAGUUAUGUUUUUGUAAGUAACAAUCAAGAGCGGAUGUAGACCUUCGAGUUUGCAACUCUGUUGGAGUCCAUCCGCAUCUGGAAGUUUAUAAUCUUUUCGCUUAUGAAACCCAUAUUUUAGUUACUAUAGUUUAUUUAUUUAGAGUUACUAUAAUUAAUAGUUAAUAAGUUAAUAUAAUUAAUUAGUUUAUUUAUUUUAGUUACUAUAGUUUUGUUACUAUUUUGCACUCGUUUCGUUUCUAUGUAAACAUGCGAAAUUUUGCUCCUGUUAUAAUUUUUUUCAUUGUCACCAUUGCAAUGGAAACUAAUACAUAGAAUUGUUUUUCCUAAUGCUACCGCAUGUGUACAUCAAAACAAGUCUCGCUCGUCAUUCAUGCGAAUGAUCUUACGAAUUCGCGUUCAUUGAAUCGCGCAUGCCCGGCGCCGUUAUGCCAAACGGUCGAUAGGGUGUCUAGUAUCUAACCGUUUUGAAAAGCGCCCAGACACAUCGUCAUCGAUCCAUCUCGGACCCUUGGGAACGCAUUAGACAUUGCCGCAAGGACCAUGUUUUGGCAACGACUAAGAAAACAAGCCGAGUAUUCUUCGGCUACUUUUUCUUUUCAUGUUCCAUGCAACGUAUUUACAAGUUUGUACGCUGAUUUCGCUGGCAACGAUGCUACGACUUCAGCGAUUACUAAACAAAUAAACCUCGAUAUCGCGUCGAUUA